UACGUAGGUGGCAAGCGUUAUCCGGAAUUAUUGGGCGUAAAGCGCACGCAGGUGGCGGCUUAAGUCUGACGUGAAAGCUCCUGGCUUAACUGGGAGAGGUCGUUGGGUACUGGGCGGCUUGAGGCAAGGAGAGGGGCGUAGAAUUCCCGGUGUAGUGGUGGAAUGCGUAGAUAUCGGGAGGAAUACCAGAGGCGCAAGCGGCGCCCUGGCCUUGGCCUGACGCUCAGGUGCGAAAGCGUGGGGAGCGAACGGG
rnacentral:rRNA from 1 species